rnacentral:pre_miRNA from 3 species
UCUUAUGGAUGAGCAAGAAAGUUGUUUCUUAAGAUAUAAUUUACUCCUGGUGAAGAUGCUGUGAA